AUUGAACGCUGGCGGUAUGCUUAACACAUGCAAGUCGAACGGAAACGAUACUAGCUUGCUAGUAGGCGUCGAGUGGCGGACGGGUGAGUAACGCGUAGGAAUCUGCCUGAUAGUGGGGGAUAGCCCGAAGAAAUUCGGAUUAAUACCGCAUAAUCUAUUCGUAGUAAAGUGGGGGACUUUCGAGCCUCACGCUAUCAGAUGAGCCUGCGUAAGAUUAGCUAGUUGGUAGGGUAAAAGCCUACCAAGGCAACGAUCUUUAGCUGGUCUGAGAGGAUGAUCAGCCACAUCGGGACUGAGACACGGCCCGAACUCCUACGGGAGGCAGCAGUGGGGAAUAUUGGACAAUGGGGGCAACCCUGAUCCAGCAAUACCGCGUGUGUGAAGAAGGCCUGAGGGUUGUAAAGCACUUUCAAUUGUGAAGAAAAGUUAACGGUUAAUAACCGUUAGCCUUGACGUUAACUUUAGAAGAAGCACCGGCUAACUCCGUGCCAGCAGCCGCGGUAAUACGGAGGGUGCAAGCGUUAAUCGGAAUUACUGGGCGUAAAGCGUGCGUAGGCGGUUUAUUAAGUCAGAUGUGAAAGCCCCGGGCUUAACCUGGGAACUGCAUUUGAAACUGGUCAACUAGAGUAUGGUAGAGGAAAGUGGAAUUUCUGGUGUAGCGGUGAAAUGCGUAGAUAUCAGAAGGAACAUCAAUGGCGAAGGCAGCUUUCUGGACCAAUACUGACGCUGAGGUACGAAAGCGUGGGUAGCAAACAGGAUUAGAUACCCUGGUAGUCCACGCCGUAAACGAUGAUAACUAGCCGUUGGGGGGAUUUACCCUUUAGUGGCGAAGCUAACGCGUUAAGUUAUCCGCCUGGGGAGUACGGCCGCAAGGUUAAAACUCAAAGGAAUUGACGGGGACCCGCACAAGCGGUGGAGCAUGUGGUUUAAUUCGAUGCAACGCGAAGAACCUUACCUGGUCUUGACAUCCUGCGAACUUUCUAGAAAUAGAUUGGUGCCUUCGGGAACGCAGUGACAGGUGCUGCAUGGCUGUCGUCAGCUCGUGUCGUGAGAUGUUGGGUUAAGUCCCGUAACGAGCGCAACCCCUAUCCUUAUUUGCCAGCACGUCAUGGUGGGAACUAUAAGGAGACUGCCGGUGAUAAACCGGAGGAAGGCGGGGACGACGUCAAGUCAUCAUGGCCCUUACGACCAGGGCUACACACGUGCUACAAUGGGAAGGACAAAGAGCCGCGAAGCCGCGAGGUGUAGCUAAUCUCAGAAACCUUUUCGUAGUCCGGAUUGGAGUCUGCAACUCGACUCCAUGAAGUCGGAAUCGCUAGUAAUCGUAGAUCAGAAUGCUACGGUGAAUACGUUCCCGGGUCUUGUACACACCGCCCGUCAUACCAUGGGAGUGGGUUGCACCAGAAGUGGCUAGUCUAACUUAGUGAGGACGGUCACCACGGUGUGAUUCAUGACUGGGGUAAAGUCGUAACAAGGUAGCCCUACCGGAAGGUGGGGCUGGAUCACCUCCUUA
rnacentral:rRNA from 1 species